rnacentral:tRNA from 1 species
AAGACACUAGUAAAAUGCAAAUUACACUGCCUUGUCAAGGCAGAAUCGUAGGUUAAAACCCUACGUGUCUUA